CCUACGGGAGGCAGCAGUGGGGAAUCUUGCGCAAUGGGCGAAAGCCUGACGCAGCAACGCCGCGUGCGGGAAGAAGGCUUUCGGGCUGUAAACCGCUUUCAGCAGGAACGAAAAUGACGGUACCUGCAGAAGAAGGAGCGGCCAACUAUGUGCCAGCAGCCGCGGUGAUACAUAGGCUUCAAGCGUUGUCCGGAUUUAUUGGGCGUAAAGAGUUCGUAGGCGGUCGAGUAAGUCGGGUGUGAAAAUUCUGGGCUCAACCCAGAGACGCCACCCGAUACUGCUUGACUUGAGUUCGAUAGGGGAGUGGGGAAUUCCUAGUGUAGCGGUGAAAUGCGCAGAUAUUAGGAGGAACACCGGUGGCGAAGGCGCCACUCUGGAUCGAUACUGACGCUGAGGAACGAAAGCAUGGGUAGCAAACAGGAUUAGAUACCCUGGUAGUCCAUGCCGUAAACGGUGGGCACUAGGUGUGGGUUUCUAUUAACGAAAUCCGCGCCGUCGCUAACGCAUUAAGUGCCCCGCCUGGGGAGUACGUCGCGAGACGAAACUACAANAGUAAGUAGUACGGUUCGUUGUAGACGUUGCCGACGGACGACGACGAGGGAGGAGG
rnacentral:rRNA from 1 species